AUUGAACGCUGGCGGCAGGCCUAACACAUGCAAGUCGAACGGUAACAGGAAGCAGCUUGCUGCUUUGCUGACGAGUGGCGGACGGGUGAGUAAUGUCUGGGAAACUGCCCGAUGGAGGGGGAUAACUACUGGAAACGGUAGCUAAUACCGCAUAACGUCGCAAGACCAAAGAGGGGGACCUUAGGGCCUCUUGCCAUCGUAUGUGCCCAGAUGGGAUUAGCUAGUAGGUGGGGUAACGGCUCACCUAGGCGACGAUCCCUAGCUGGUCUGAGAGGAUGACCAGCCACACUGGAACUGAGACACGGUCCAGACGCCUACGGGAGGCAGCAGUGGGGAAUAUUGCACAAUGGGCGCAAGCCUGAUGCAGCCAUGCCGCGUGUAUGAAGAAGGCCUUCGGGUUGUAAAGUACUUUCAGCGGGGAGGAAGGGAGUAAAGUUAAUACCUUUGCUCAUUGACGUUACCCGCAGAAGAAGCACCGGCUAACUACGUG
rnacentral:rRNA from 1 species